GACGAACGCUGGCGGCGCGCCUAACACAUGCAAGUCGAACGAGCGAGAGAGAGCUUGCUUUCUCGAGCGAGUGGCGAACGGGUGAGUAACGCGUGAGGAACCUGCCUCAAAGAGGGGGACAUCAGUUGGAAACGACUGCUAAUACCGCAUAAGCCCACGGUGCCGCAUGGCACAGAGGGAAAAGGAGCAAUCCGCUUUGAGAUGGCCUCGCGUCCGAUUAGCUAGUUGGUGAGGUAAUGGCCCACCAAGGCGACGAUCGGUAGCCGGACUGAGAGGUUGAACGGCCACAUUGGGACUGAGACACGGCCCAGACUCCUACGGGAGGCAGCAGUGGGGAAUAUUGCACAAUGGGGGAAACCCUGAUGCAGCGACGCCGCGUGGAGGAAGAAGGUCUUCGGAUUGUAAACUCCUGUUGUUGGGGAAGAUAAUGACGGUACCCAACAAGGAAGUGACGGCUAACUACGUG
rnacentral:rRNA from 1 species